GGUCGGGGCGGUCGGUAGGCUUCUCUUCGGAGGGCGUGUACCAUGUCAGGCUCCGGCCAUCGUCGGGGAGGCGUCGGCUGGCAUUAAGUUGUCUGGUUGGCGAAUCCUUUUCCCCGUCAUUUACUGUGAGCAAAAUAGAGUGUUCAAAGCAGGCUUACGCCGUUGAAUACAUUAGCAUGGAAUAAUAAGAUACGACUGUCGGGUCAAUUUUGUUGGUUUGCGGUCCGAAGUA
rnacentral:rRNA from 1 species